CAGACUGGCUGUGGGUGUCUUAGCCUGUGGUGUCAGUUACUGCAGCCAGUGGGGUCUCAGCACCUGGAGCGGGUGGGGGUCUUCAGCCCCCAGCCCCUGGGGCAGAAGCAGUGUGUGAAUCCACAAACCAGCUGCUGGGAGAUGCGGUGAGUGCGGUGAGUGCGGUGAGUGAAGGCUCUGCAUCAGCAGCUGGAGUGGGGCUGCUAGCCAUGGUCAGUGUGCAUGCUGCUGGCUUCUGGGAUUCCUACCCAAAACCAGGUUCCAACAAUAAAACUUUGAAUACUACACUACAUGCCUGAGAAGGGUAUCACAAAAAGAUGAAAGUAUCCAUGAAGCUCUGAAGAACUAUCUGAAGUAUCGAAAGAACCUGCAAAGCUUGUCACAUCUACCACCAAGAUCUUUUAAAGUGUAUAUGUUGCAUAUCUUGUGGAUCUAAAAAUGCAACAGUAGUGCUGGAAAUGUACAGUGAAGAGAGCCAAAUUGGAAGCACUCUUAUUCAUACCAUCCUUUGAGAGCAACCUCUGAAGUGAGCUAUUAGUAAAUCUCCACCAGUGUUUUCCUUCUGUAGGAAGAAGUUUCUUCCCUUGAAAAUGAAGUAAAAUAGUGAAUUAAUGUCUGUAUUUUUUGGGUAAUGACAUAAUGUUUAUUUAAUUGAGUAAAGUCUAUGCAAAUUAACCAGGAAUUUAAGUCAUUUGACCAUGUUCAGUCCAAAUCCUGGCUCUGCACUGGACUAACUAAAAAUUAAAUCAUAUGUCAGUAUUGUCUAAGUGUUUCUUGAGUUCUGUCAGGAUCUGCUUCUCUGGGUAGUCUAUUCCAAUGCUGGAUCACCAAAUAUGUAUAUCAAGGAAUCUGGAAACAGAGUACCCAAAGAGUACCCAAAGAGAUCACUACUGUUGUAUUAAUAUAAAGGAACUAAAGAGUCACUCAAGAAACUGAGAGUAUGCAGUUUCUUAAGGUACAAUUAAAUAUUAACACCUUGAUUUGCACCCAGAAGAAAAUAUAUUGCUAAUGCAUUCUUAGAAGCCCUCCAGUAAUGUGCUUGUUUUGACUACAACUUCUAAGCAAAAGAACAGCUGCUUUAUCAGCUGCAGCUGCUCCAUCUUUUCCAAAGUAGCAAAAUUUGUGUAUUUAUGCAGUAUGAAAGCCAGAAAAAUAUCAGUGCUUGUGUACAUCUUUACAUAAUGACUACUUAUUAUAAUUUGUGUCAGAUCCACAUAAAUACAAAUCUAAAUAGAAUCAUCAAGCAGACAGAAGAAUCCUAAUGCUGCAAAUUUCUCUCACAAAAGAAAAAAUUUAUCAUACAAACAUUGUCAGUAAAGUAUGAUCAAGGUACUAUUUUUUUUUUUUUUCUUCAAUAUACUAGUAUCAUUGUAACU